UUUUACGAGUGAAUAUUUAGACGGUGAACUGUCAAGCAAACCUAGAAGAGAAGACGCCCCAAGUCAUAACCUUUUUUCCGUUUUGGUGUUAAAAUUCUGCUAUAAUUUUUUUAAAAGUUAGUUAUUUUAUUUUUUUCGCAUUUUGUAUAUGAAUUUUCGGAACCCCAUUUGUAAAAAAAUGGAGUAGUAUGUAUCUUAGGGUUGUGAGAAAAUGGGGGAAAUUAAAGUUCCAUCAUUAGUUGACUUGUGCAUUUACUCAAUUAGAGAUGAACUCAUUCAAGUUGAUGAUCUUAAUCUUUCAUCAGUAUUGUAUCGCCUUCCUACGGAGUUGUUCGAUCAGUUGCUGUUGCAGUUACCUCCGUUGGCAUUGCAGAAAUUACAACAAGGGAAAUCUGUUAUCUUGGAUGAUCAUGAGCUUUUGACUGACGGUGUUGAUAAUCAGAGAAAGCGUAAAAGAUAUCUGAAUUUUGAGGAAGAGUGGAAAAAUCUGUAUGAAGCUCGGUGGCCUGCUUUUGGUUGGAGGAGUAAGAAUUUCAGGAGUCAGUCAUCUGCCAGAUCAGCAAACCAAAAAGAAGUAGAGUGUGAAUCCGCAAAUGACUGGCAACAGAUGUAUUGGGAAGCACAUUUGCAGAAUUGCCUGGAUACAGCAGCAGAGUUGACUUUAUUCCCAUCUUUUCAUGGUCGGAUUAGUGAAAUAGAAGUUCCAGAAUCAAUCUUAAACUAUAUUGAUCAUAGGGGAGGCAUCAGUAGAUUCACCUGUGACUAUUCCAAGUUCGCUUAUCAUUGCCAACAAUUUGGAUCGUAUGCCAGGCACCUGAGAUUGCCAAAUGUUCUGUGUGUGGAAGAAACUUGUCUUUUACUUAGAAAUGCAAGGUUGGAGAGUUUGGAACUACAAUGGAUUAAGUCUUAUAUGCAUGUCGAGGGGUUAUGCAAACUCAUCAGCCAGAACUAUCGAUCCCUUAAGUCAAUUAAAUUCAUGCAUUGCAAGUUUACAGUUUCUUCUCUUGAUGCAAUUUGUGACUUGCUAUGCAUGCACAAUCCUCAAGCACUUGGGAUGCAACAUUUCUCAAUCAAGACAUCAAACUUCCUAGAGAACAACUUUCAAUCCUCGCCAGCUGGACUGAUAUCUUUGCUAUCAUCAGGGAGGUCCUUGUCUUCACUAUGCUUAUCAGACAACCAUCUUCCUCGCCAUUUUGCGAGGAAAGUAUUUGAUACCCUCGUUGAUGCUUCAUCUGGUAUUACCGUUCUGGACCUUUCAGAAAACAAUAUCGCGGGAUGGCUUUCUCAUUUUAAAUAUAAGAACAGAAGUAGCACAGAUGGGACAUAUAAUUCAUUGAAGUCAUUAAAGGAGCUUAAUUUAAGGAACUGCAAUCUACAGAUGGACGAUGUGGAUUGUCUCAGAUAUGCUCUAGUCCACGUACCUAAUCUGGAGCAACUCGAUCUCAGUGACAAUCCUAUCGAGACUUCUGGAAUCAGGUGUCUAAUCCCCUACUUCAAAGAGACGUCCUAUAAAUAUUUCCCCCUUGUCGAAUUGAAGUUGGAAAGUUGUGAGCUUACAUGCUUUGGAGUUUGUGAACUUCUAGAAGCUCUUUCAUCUUUGAGAAAACCACUGAAUUUUCUCUCGAUCGGAGGCAACUCUCUUGGCAGUGAAAUAGGAACAGCACUAGGGAAGUUUCUAUGCUGUGGUAUUCAAGCUCUUGAUAUUGAAGACAUUGGACUAGGUUCUACUGGCUUCAUGAGAGCAGGCCAAGCGAUAGUGAAGGAAACAAAGCUCCACUCAAUCAACAUAAGCAAAAAUCGAGGUGGAAUUGAAACUGCAAGAUUUCUGUCAAAGCUUUUCUCUCAUGCUCCAGAUCUUUCAACAGUAAAUGCAAAAUACAACUUUAUGCCCAAAGAAUCUUUGUCAAUCCUUUCCUCUGCUGUAAAAGCUGCAAAAGGAAGCGUCAAUAUACACAUGUUUGCGGUUUCACAGUUUGAAUCAUGCUGUGGAAAAACAUUUGGUGUUUAAGUUCGGAGGAGGGUAGAGGAGCAGGCCUAUACUCCCCUGGAGUUCUGAACCUGCUGUUUCCUUACGGAGUCCACUCAGGCUAACAAGGUAAACUGGAGCAUUUGGAUUUGAGGGGAAAUAUCAUAUGUGGACAACAAGUUCAUUUAUCUGAGUUGGCUGAGUUUCAAACCAAUGGAUUUUCUAUUUUGGAACUCUCUUCUUCACCAGCUUUAAAUGAACCUUAUGAUGAUGAUCCUUAAUUGCUUCAUGAGGUUUCUGAUGUUGUUGUCAAUCAUGUUUGGUAAUUAAGUGGAGAAAGACGGACGGGAACAGUACCAUUGUGAUCUCCUUCUCUGGCGCUUGCUUGUAUGAAGGUUUAAGGCCUUUCUCAAAAGAUUUGGUCCAACAAUAGUUUCAUAUAAAGAUGUGAUUUGCCUCUCCAAGUUCAUUCCCCCACCCCCAGAAACAGUUGAGCUGGUUGUACUUAAGCUCCAAGGUUUUUACCCCAACAAAUCAAAUUAUAUCUGGGAAAAGGUGUUCUAUUACAAGUAUCUCCAUCUGUAAUUUUUUUUCCAGAUUUUCAAAGUCUCUGAUGGAGGGACGAGUUGUUGUCACCGAAGUUUGAAGUUGAAUACUAGAAAAUAUUCCAUCUCAAUUUGUGCAAGCCUAUUUUCUUAUUAGUUCGUCCAAAAGGAAUUACAUCUUUCGUUAGGUUACAAAGUUUUAAAAACCUUUUAUUCUAAAUUUUGUGUAUAGUCCAACACAAUUACAUAAAUUUGGAUGGAAAUGAAGGAGUAAUCAUCAUUA